UAGCAGUUGCUAAUAAACAUCCAGUUAUUACACUACCAACUGAUCAUAUUAAGAUAUUCUCCAGUACAUGGCCUGAUUCAUCACCAGGUGUUACUUAUCAUUAUCAUUGGAGGAGAUUGUUUGGUCCUAAGAAGGGAAACCUCAAUGGAGUCAAUGAUAAAACCAUCUCAUUGAGUCAUUUGGUUGCUGGUAAAUACGGUCUUGGAAGUAUUAGUUUAUGAUGAUGAAGGAAACUAUAGAUUAUCAUAUCCCCCAGUACUAACAUCACUAUAAAACCCUCUGAUAAAUUAAUGCUAGACGCCUCAAGUAAGUAAUCAAUGGCCUGGAUUGGCCCCCAUAGGGGGUCUCAGAGAACUGGGAUUAUUGGACCCUGCCUUUAAUAAUACUGGAACACCUCAAUGUUGGAAAAUAUAGGUGAUUGGUGGAUUUUAAUUUGGCAAAUUUGUGGCCAAGUCAUGGCCUGAUUCAUCACCAUGUGUUACUUAUCAUUAUCAUUGGAGGAGAUUGUUUGGUCCUAAGAAGAGAAACCUCAAUGGAGUCAAUGAUAAAACCAUCUCAUUGAGUCACGUAUGUUAUAGGGAGGGAGGA